UGGGGAAUAUUGCGCAAUGGGGGAAACCCUGACGCAGCAACGCCGCGUGAAGGAUGAAGGUUUUCGGAUUGUAAACUUCUUUGAUGGGGGACGAAAAAAAUGACGGUACCCCAAAAACAAGCCACGGCUAACUACGUGCCAGCAGCCGCGGUAAUACGUAGGUGGCGAGCGUUGUCCGGAUUUACUGGGUGUAAAGGGCGUGUAGGCGGGAUUGCAAGUCAGAUGUGAAAUUCCAGAGCUUAACUCUGGAGCUGCAUCUGAAACUGUGAUUCUUGAGUGCUGGAGAGGAUAGUGGAAUUCCUAGUGUAGCGGUGAAAUGCGUAGAUAUUAGGAGGAACACCAGUGGCGAAGGCGGCUAUCUGGACAGUAACUGACGCUGAGGCGCGAAAGCGUGGGGAGCAAACAGG
rnacentral:rRNA from 1 species